AAUAGAUACCCCGGUAGUCCACGCCGUAAACGAUGAGUGCUAGGUGUUGGGGGUUUCAAUACCCUCAGUGCCGCAGCUAACGCAAUAAGCACUCCGCCUGGGGAGUACGCUCGCAAGAGUGAAACUCAAAGGAACUGACGGGGGCCCGCACAAGCGGUGGAGCAUGUGGUUUAAUUCGAAGCAACGCGAAGAACCUUACCAGGUCUUGACAUCCCGCUGACCGCUCUGGAGACAGAGCUUCCCUUCGGGGCAGCGGUGACAGGUGGUGCAUGGUUGUCGUCAGCUCGUGUCGUGAGAUGUUGGGUUAAGUCCCGCAACGAGCGCAACCCUUAUCUUUAGUUGCCAGCAUUCAGUUGGGCACUCUAGAGAGACUGCCGUCGACAAGGACGGAGGAAGGCGGGGAUGACGUCAAAUCAUCAUGCCCCUUAUGACCUGGGCUACACACGUGCUACAAUGGUUGGUACAACGGGAUGCUACCUCGCGAGAGGACGCCAAUCUCUUAAAACCAAUCUCAGUUCGGAUU
rnacentral:rRNA from 1 species